AUACAGAGGGUGCGAGCGUUAAUCGGAAUUACUGGGCGUAAAGCGCGCGUAGGCGGCUACUUAAGUCAGAUGUGAAAUCCCCGGGCUCAACCUGGGAACUGCAUCUGAUACUGGGUAGCUAGAGUUUAGGAGAGGGAAGUAGAAUUUCGGGUGUAGCGGUGGAAUGCAUAGAGAUCUGAAGGAAUACCAGUGGCGAAGGCGGCUUCCUGGCCUAAAACUGACGCUGAGGUGCGAAAGCGGGGGUAGCAAACGGGAUUAGAAACCCUAGUAGUCC
rnacentral:rRNA from 1 species